CUUUAAGUCCAAGAAUUAAACCAACAAAGAUUAUAAUUAACUAAAAGAUAUGUUGAUAAAUAAACUGAACAGCAAGAGGAGUAUCACUUGAUUCUUGGAUGUUUCAUUAUCCUUCAAAACAUUCCUUGGUCAAUCAGCUCGUGACACUUGGCAUUGGUAGAUAAUUAUUAUAAAAGAAACACAAAAAAAUACAAAGGGAGAGUAAUUAAAAACAAAAAGACAAAAAAGUGAGAGGAUUCAAUCCAUCUUCCUUCCUCUCGUGAGAUCCAUCCUCCUCACUCUCGUGGGAUUCUCUCUCUUUUUCACGUUAAAAUUUUCCUCCCCUGUUCUCUCAACUCAAACCUCCCUUCAUCUUUCACGAUUCAAUGAAACAAACAACCACAAAUUGGCACGGAUAGGGCGUAAGAACAAACAUCAAACAUAGAGCAAAAGCAAUCAAAUCACAGAGAUACAAAUGAGUAAAUAGCAUUUGACAGUACCGAAUCGGAGUUGAAGGAUGCGUCGAGUCCGUUGUUGGAAGGGAGUUAUUCGCCGGAUCCAGAGGAGGUCGCCGCUGCUAUGCUUGAACGACGAUGUUGUGGAGGUCGGUGUUCGAAACAGUCACGGCGGAGGUUCGUGCGUGAUUGCGACGCGUCGGAGGUGGAGCUUUUACGAUUGAAAUAAAUUAGUAGCCAUGAAUUGAAGCUGAAUUUUGCCGUGGAUUUCUGAGCGUCGUGAUAGUUGUUGUUUUGUGAAGUUCAUGUAGAUUGGAGGAGCGAUCGAUGUUUUCCAGAUUCUGAUCUGUGGCGGCGAGUUCAUGGUUGCGUGAACAGGGGCUUCGAGAUUUGUGUUGUUUGCUGAACUGUUGGUGUAAAUCAUGGUUGAGAUUGUUGUUUGUUGAUGUUGCAUUGUGAAGCGAUUCGGCUUUGACUCUACUUUAUGUCUGAUUGUUCUGAUUUGAUGGUUGGCCUGCUGUUGUUGAUGUUGAGGCUGCCGGAGUUCAAACUGUUGCUGAGACAUCAUUCGCGGAUGCUGCGUUUUUUUUCUGUUCUUCUCUGACUCAUGAUAAUUUCGUUGAAUCAAAUGUUAAUGAAAUCAACAAAAAUAAGAAGAUUAGGACAAUAGUAGAAUAGUACAAUGUUACCAGUGGUAUAAUUGAACAUGUAAAAAUUAUAAGGAAAACUUGUGGAAUGUGAUGUACUAAGUGAAUGAAAGGUGGUUUGUAAGAA